ACGGGAGGCAGCAGUCGGGAAUAUUGCGCAAUGGAGGAAACUCUGACGCAGUGACGCCGCGUAUAGGAAGAAGGUUUUCGGAUUGUAAACUAUUUUAGACAGGGAAGAAAAUGACAGUACCUGUAGAAUAAGCUCCGGCUAACUACGUGCCAGCAGCCGCGGUAAUACGUAGGGAGCAAGCGUUAUCCGGAUUUAUUGGGUGUAAAGGGUGCGUAGACGGGAAAGCAAGUUAGUUGUGAAAGCCCUCGGCUUAACUGAGGAACUGCAACUAAAACUACUAUUCUUGAGUGCAGGAGAGGAAAGCGGAAUUCCUAGUGUAGCGGUGAAAUGCGUAGAUAUUAGGAGGAACACCAGUGGCGAAGGCGGCUUUCUGGACCGUAACUGACGUUGAGGCACGAAAGUGUGGGGAGCAAACAGGAUUAGAUACCCUGGUA
rnacentral:rRNA from 1 species